rnacentral:rRNA from 1 species
UAUGACGGUACCCUUUCGAAUAAGAGGUUGCUAACUCUGUGCCAGCAGCAGCGGUAAUACAGAGACCUCGAGCGUUAUCCGGAUUUACUGGGCGUAAAGCGUCUGUAGGGGGUUUGUUAAGUUCCAAGUAAAAUCUUAAGGCUCAACUUUAAGUUCGCUUGGAAAACUAAUAAACUGGAGUCCAGCAGAGGUGCAUGGAACUUGCGGUGUAGGAGUGAAAUCCGUUGAUAUCGCAAGGAACACCAAAGGCGAAGGCAUUGCACUGGGCUGGUACUGACCCUGAGAGACGAAAGCGUGGGGAGCAAAACGGAUUAGAUACCCGUGUAGUCCACGCCGUAAACGAUGGAUACUAGAUGUUCGGGGAUUCGACCCCCUGGGUGUCACAGCUAACGCGUUAAGUAUCCCGCCUGGGAAGUACGGCCGCAAGGCUAAAACUCAAAGGAAUAGACGGGGAUCCGCACAAGCGGUGGAGCGUCUGGUUUAAUUUGAUAGUAAGCAAUGGACCUCACCAAGGUUUGACAUCCUAUGACAACCCUGGAAACAGGGCUUCCUUCGGGCAUAGUGACAGGUGCUGCAUGGUCGUCGUCAGUUCGUGCCGUGAGGUGUUCCGUUAAGUCGGGAAACGAACGAAACCCUCGUCGCAUGUUACAAAUUUCAUGCGAGACUGCCCGGGUCAACCGGGAGGAAGGCGGGGAUGACGUCAGAUCAGCAUGGCCCUUAUACCUUGGGCUACACAGGCGUUACAAUGGCCGGUACAAAGGGUUGCAAAACCGCGAGGUGAAGCUAAUCCCAUAAAGCCGGUCCAAGUUCGGAUUGGAGGCUGCAACUCGCCUCCAUGAAGUUGGAAUCGCUAGUAAUCGUGGAUCAGCCAUACCACGGUGAAUACGUUCCCGGAUCUUGUACUCACCGCCCGUCACACCAAGAGAGUUGGUAGCUCCUGAAG